UAAAAGUCGUAACAGGUCUCCGUUGGUGAACCAGCGGAGGGAUCAUUACCGAGUUUACAACUCCCAAACCCCUGUGAACAUACCUAUACGUUGCCUCGGCGGAUCAGCCCGCGCCCUGUAAAAAGGGACGGCCCGCCCGAGGACCCUAAACUCUGUUUUUAGUGGAACUUCUGAGUAAAACAAACAAAUAAAUCAAAACUUUCAACAACGGAUCUCUUGGUUCUGGCAUCGAUGAAGAACGCAGCAAAAUGCGAUAAGUGAUGUGAAUUGCAGAAUUCAGUGAAUCAUCGAAUCUUUGAACGCACAUUGCGCCCGCCAGUAUUCUGGCGGGCAUGCCUGUUCGAGCGUCAUUUCAACCCUCAAGCUCAGCUUGGUGUUGGGACUCGCGGUAACCCGCGUUCCCCAAAUCGAUUGGCGGUCACGUCGAGCUUCCAUAGCGUAGUAAUCAUACACCUCGUUACUGGUAAUCGUCGCGGCCACGCCGUAAAACCCCAACUUCUGAAUGUUGACCUCGGAUCAGGUAGGAAUACCCGCUGAACUUAAGCAUAUCAU
rnacentral:rRNA from 1 species